rnacentral:lncRNA from 1 species
GAAAUGCUAAAAAAAAUUAUAAUGUAUUGAAACUAAUUUGUAAUAUAUAGAAAAUAUAUAAUCUAUGGACAUGUUGUUUGUUAUUAUUAUUAUUAUGCUUGCCUUUUAAUAAAAAAUGUCUUAAAUAUACGGAAUUUCCAAAAAAAGUUUUGUGAUAUAUUGAAACUAUAUAAUCUAUGAAAAUAUUGUUCGUUAUUAUUAGUAUUAUGCUCGUAUUUUAAUAAAAAAAUACCUUAAAUAUACUGAAUGCCCAAAAAAAAUUUCUCGGGGGCUACCGCCCCCGAACCCCCGUACAGGUUCAGCCCCCCCCGAACUAAAUUCCUGGCUCCGUCCCUG